UUCAUACCAAACCCUAUCUUCAUCAUUCUCUCUACCUUCUCUCUAUCUAUACCCCUCACUACCUACCCACCUCUACCACUCUUCUUUUUGAUCGGUAAAGGAUCAAAUUUAUGCCAUGGCUACCGCUUUGGCAUUGGCUUUGGCUAUGGGUGGCGACGCCUUCGGAGGAGGUUAUGAUGUGAGUAGCUCUACCAUAUCUCGUCUAUGACGUCACUGCUCCUCCGCAUGCAGCGGCCAAGCAUUGCAUCAUCGCCACUACUUGCAAACGAACUAUGGUUUUAUCAUUAUGCUAAGAAGAUAGGACAUUACUGACUGACCAACUAUGAUUUGAGAGGCAGUUUGGUGGAUACAAGAGCUCAACACAUUGCUGUGCAAGUUGUGAGAACAUUGUAUGGCAACCACAAGGUGACUUCUUUUAUAAAGGUGGUCGAGGUACCAGUUCCUCUCAGAAAAGAGUAAACCUGUUCUCAUUGAUGGUGAGUUUGAAGAGAAAUGGAUGAAGAUCUAGAGAUGGCUUUGAUGUCCUCUACAUGUAGUACUCAUAUGCAAAUGAUGUCAUACAAAAACAUAAGGGAUGUUUUUUUUUUUCUUUUCACAUUACACUAAUUACUUUCAGUUCAUAUUCAGUUAUUGUGUAUAUUAUGUAUCAUAGGUAGGAUAUGAUUGUCUUAAUAUUUGUAGGCUGAGAAAUGAAAGUAACAUCACUUUUAUUGUACAAAUUUUUCAUCAUGAGCAAUUGUGGAAUAUUUUUUCUUGGUUUUGGAUU